rnacentral:rRNA from 1 species
CAGUAGCCGCGGGAAUACGUAGGUGGCAAGCGUUGUCCGGAAUUAUUGGGCGUAAAGCGCGCGCAGGUGGUUUAAUAAGUCUGAUGUGAAAGCCCACGGCUCAACCGUGGAGGGUCAUUGGAAACUGGAAAACUUGAGUGCAGAAGAGGAAAGUGGAAUUCCAUGUGUAGCGGUGAAAUGCGUAGAGAUGUGGAGGAACACCAGUGGCGAAGGCGACUCUCUGGUCUGUAACUGACGCUGAGGGGCGAAAGCGUGGGGAGCGAACAGGAUUAGAGACCCCAGUAGUCCCUGUCUCUUAUAC